rnacentral:lncRNA from 10 species
UCCUACUCCAUCUCACCCAGGACGUGAAUCAUCCCGUUGUCUGGCAUGUCCAUGCUGUCUGCGCUACUCACCCAUGAGUCACAUAGGAGCCGUCUUGGUUAUUAGAUUGACUGUCAUUUGUUUUGCAGUGCUUGUGUUCAAGUGACCCUUAUUUUACUGAACAGUGGCUCCAAAGAACAAAAGUAGUGAUGCUGGCCAUUUGAACAUGCCUAGGAGAAGCUGGGAAGUGCUUUCGUUAAGUGAAAAGGAUUCACAUGUGGACCUUGAGAAACAUGUGUUUUUGCGCUGCCGUUUGCAUAGCUCCCUUCAGUCUGCCAGCACAGCUUCUACUCCCUGCCCACAGCCAGAAACUCCCUCCUUCAGAUUUUCUUCCAAGACACAGUGAGAAGGAGGACAUCUGUAAGUUAGGAAGAGGGUCCUCAACAGAACUAAAUUGGCUGGCACCUGGAUCUUGGACUUCCCAACCUUCAGAAUCGUGAGAAAAUAAAUGUCUG